UAGCUAUUCCAGUUGACGCCAUUUUGAUCUUAAAAUAGUAACAACCGGAAGCACUGGGUAGCCAUUACUGCAUGCGAUUUUCGGAAGGAUAUUGGAUCCUAUAGUUAAAUCGUGAAGUUUACAAAUUACAGUGACACAGUGAGAAAUUACAGAGUGACAAAGUGACUGAAAUUUCCAUAGAAGGUUGUUUACUGGGAUGAUAUAGAUUGGAAGAAUGACAGUGAGUUUCAGUUAACAGAGAGAGAUCAGAGAUGAAGAUUAUUUUCUAUUUGAAAAAAAAACUAUAGAAGGU